GUCCCGGUUGUCCCGGUGGGCCAGGUGGACAAAUUGGUUUGGUUGGCUCACAUUGACACCAUUCUGGAAG
ensembl:ncRNA C12D8.23 ncRNA